rnacentral:lncRNA from 1 species
GAGUUUCGGCGGAAUUUCCAUCGAAUUUCCGCCAGUUUUCCGCCGAUGUCCCCUGCGCCCCGCCCGCGCGUCCCCCCAUGGGACUCUUGUGCACUCCAGCGAGUCCCUUCGCGCUCCGAUGCUUCUCUUCAGCCCCCUGCCGCCGCCCCAGCGACUGUCCUUUCGUCAGCCGUGUGAAACCAUGUGCGUGCGCUCAGAGGCAGCCUAUGGACAGGGGUCAGCCCCAUGCUUGUCUCUGAGUUUACACGCAGCUCACACACGCAGCUUCCCAGACGGCCUCGCGCACGAUUAUGCACUCCCACUCACGCGCCGCGCCAACCGCCAACCUCCGCCGAGCUCCGCCGAGCUCCGCCGUACUCCACAGCAGCUUCCCUUACACGCCUCGCUGCCCAACUCUGCACUCCCACUCGCGCUGCGCACCAACCACCACACCCCGCCGAGCUCCGCACGCCUCAGUUGACACACGAGUGACUGGGGUGGCACAUACAAUAUCAUAAUGUAAAGCUUCUUCCAGCCGCGCACAACGCUACACAACGCUACACAACGCCAGCCCAACACAACACACAUACAAAACUUUUGUGGUUUACGCUUUACUGCGCUACCCAGACAUCUUUUAAAAGCAAGCGAGAGGAAUGAGCGCUAAGAAGGAGCCCACCAUGCAGGAGGCGGCUGCCGCCUGGCGUGAGCGCUCCUGGGCCUCUGGCACUGCCGAUUGGCAUGCUGUUAAGAAGAGGAAACCCUCAGACUUGAACGGGACCAUUGAGGAACUGUUUGUGAGACAGAGCUAUGCCGAUGCCGCGCUGAGGGAAGUGUUCGCAUUAGUGAAGGACUAUCCUGAAUUAAAGAAGAAGAUGGCUGACUUUGAGGUUAAGCAGACGCUGCUGGAGGAGAGGCUCGCGUCCUCGCAGCAAGCAUCCACUCCGCUGCAGAAGUCUGUGCGAGUUCGGGAUUUCGCACCUCCUCGACCCCAAGCCCGUUUGUGGCAACUACGCAGCGAGCAAGGCAGCGAAACAAAGCGCAAUAGCUUCCAGACUUGGUAAGCUAAUGGUUAAUUAUGGACAAGUAUAGUGCGCGCCAUGUUUAAGUAAACGCGGGUCCAGUAACGCCUCGCUACGGCCUCUCGCCGCACUUAAGCUCACCAGCUCGAACCGACCCCCACAUCCGGAGCCCCCAUUCCGACCCCAUAAGCGCACCUCCGAACCCGCCCGCCCCACUUUCCACAAUCUAUAUGCAUAUAUGCAUAUGGCCCAGAAGGCGCAGGGCCAUCCAAAAGCCCUUGACCGAACUUCGCCUUGUCCAUUGUCGCAUGUUGCCCCCACACACGCACCCUGCCCACGCCACCCGCAUCCAACAGAAAUCAAACGUAGCGCUUUCACCAUAGCAAGAGCCCGGGCGCUAGGACACUCCAAGGUGUGUUCGCAUGUGGGGGCACAACGCGAGACAAGGGGCUUUGGCCGUCCAACCAAGCCCAGCUAGUCACCAGGUCACCUAAGCUUCACAGGGUACAGACCUGCAUGCCAAGCGGACGCGCAAGGACAUAGAUUCCGGGGCUCUGCCGUACUCCUAAGCGGACGGGGGUGCGGGCAAAACCUCGCCAGGCCUCGCCUGAUAUUAGGGCUUGGCGCUGUGGAAAGCGGGGCUCAAAUUGGAGAGGUUGACAUCAAGUUUGGGGGCGAAACGUGCGGCUGGGCAGGGGCGCCGAUGAGGGUCUCGGCCGAACUCGCACAGACUUCUGCAGCGGAGUGAAGGGGACGACAGCCUGACGGGAUUUGAACUCGGGUUCGACACGUGCAGGCCGGAUCCAUGGAGCCCAACCCCAGCACGCCCAGCACCGGCACGAAACCCAAGGGCAACCCCAAGCCUCCCCGAGGCCGUGGCGGUGCGGGAGUCUGAGCGCCGCCGUGUCUGCUGUCUAAUGGCUCGCAACUGUGCGCUGCAAGCCCAGGCUACAAUCAAGAACAAGAAGACUAGUGAGCUUAGCGCGCACUAAUCUGCAGCUGCAGGCCGUGCCCUGAAGGAGCGCGUGGAGGCAACGCAUCCUCCUGGCCACUGGCGGCCAGCAGCGAGUUGUACUGCAGGGCUGCACUGAAGAGGACGACCAUUGAGGCGGCCAGGUUGACAGUGCGUGGCGAGGAUGAGGGGCAAAUGAAGCGGUUUUUGAGGAGGUGAUGAUUGCCACAACACAUGAUGGAAUCGACGGAUGGCAGCAGUGUGGGGAGGGGCGGAUGCGGGGUGCGAGGGGAAAGGGAGGUGGUGGGCGCGGGACCAAGCUGGGUUCAGGAGGCACGCCGUGCCUGUGCAAGCCGAAGCUUCUCACCGGCACGAUUUUCGCAGGUGCCUGAGAGCCCAAUACACCUAUGAUAUAGCUAAACCCAGCGCGCUCAGCAGCGGGUUACGGCGACGCUCCAGGUGCGAGCGCGGAGAGGGCAGAUUCGAAAUGCCGCUGAUGCCGACUCCUCGUAGGACGCUCCUGAGCCCGGCCGCUGUGCUCCGUCGCGUUCACUUUGACCUUCUGUAUGUCGUGAGGCCGCGGGGAGGCCAAGCGCAGCCCUAACUGCGAAGCUGCGCCUCCCUUCACUCCGCUGCAGAAGUCUGUGCGAGUUCGGGAUUUCGCACCUCCUCGACCCCAAGCCCGUUUGUGGCAACUACGCAGCGAGCAAGGCAGCGAAACAAAGCGCAAUAGCUUCCAGACUUGGUAAGCUAAUGGUUAAUUAUGGACAAGUAUAGUGCGCGCCAUGUUUAAGUAAACGCGGGUCCAGUAACGCCUCG